UAGAGGAAGUAAAAGUCGUAACAAGGUCUCCGUUGGUGAACCAGCGGAGGGAUCAUUACUGAGUUUACGCUCUAUAACCCUUUGUGAACAUACCUAUAACUGUUGCUUCGGCGGGUAGGGUCUCCGCGACCCUCCCGGCCUCCCGCCUCCGGGCGGGUCGGCGCCCGCCGGAGGAUAACCAAACUCUGAUUUAACGACGUUUCUUCUGAGUGGUACAAGCAAAUAAUCAAAACUUUUAACAACGGAUCUCUUGGUUCUGGCAUCGAUGAAGAACGCAGCGAAAUGCGAUAAGUAAUGUGAAUUGCAGAAUUCAGUGAAUCAUCGAAUCUUUGAACGCACAUUGCGCCCGCCAGCAUUCUGGCGGGCAUGCCUGUUCGAGCGUCAUUUCAACCCUCAAGCUCUGCUUGGUGUUGGGGCCCUACAGCUGAUGUAGGCCCUCAAAGGUAGUGGCGGACCCUCCCGGAGCCUCCUUUGCGUAGUAACUUUACGUCUCGCACUGGGAUCCGGAGGGACUCUUGCCGUAAAACCCCCCAAUUUUCCAAAGGUUGACCUCGGAUCAGGUAGGAAUACCCGCUGAACUUAAGCAUAUCAA
rnacentral:rRNA from 1 species